AUUGAACGCUGGCGGCAGGCCUAACACAUGCAAGUCGAACGAGUGGCGGACGGGUGAGUAAUGUCUGGGAAACUGCCCGAUGGAGGGGGAUAACUACUGGAAACGGUAGCUAAUACCGCAUACCAUCGGAUGUGCCCAUAUGGGAUUAGCUAGUAGGGGGGGUAACGGCUCACCAAGGCGACGAUCCCUAGCUGGUCUGAGAGGAUGACCAGCCACACUGGAACUGAGACACGGUCCAGACUCCUACGGGAGGCAGCAGUGGGGAAUAUUGCACAAUGGGCGCAAGCCUGAUGCAGCCAUGCCGCGUGUAUGAAGAAGGCCUUCGGGUUGUAAAGUACUUUCAGCGGGGAGGCGUUACCCGCAGAAGAAGCACCGGCUAACUCCGUGCCAGCAGCCGCGGUAAUUC
rnacentral:rRNA from 1 species